AUGAACGCUGGCGGCGUGCUUAAGACAUGCAAGUCGUACGUGAAAGUCCGCAAGGAUAAGUAAAGUGGCGCACGGGUGAGUAAUACUUAGGUAACCUACCCUUCUGCUGGGGAUAACCAGGCGAAAGCUUGGCUAAUACCGAAUAUACCGGAGAGAACUGCGGUUCUUUUCGGGAAGGCCGUAAGGCGCGGAGGGAUCGGCCUAAGUCCGAUUAGCUAGUUGGUAUGGGUAAUGGCCUACCAAGGCAUCGAUCGGUAGCUGGUCUGAGAGGAUGAUCAGCCACACUGGUACUGGAACACGGACCAGACUCCUACGGGAGGCAGCAGUUAGGAAUCUUGCGCAAUGGGAGAAAUCCUGACGCAGCAACGCCGCGUGAGGGAUGACGGCCUUCGGGUUGUAAACCUCUUUUAGUAGGGAAAAACACAAUGAUGGUACCUGCAGAAAAAGCACCGGCUAACUCUGU
rnacentral:rRNA from 1 species